GUGGUGGUCAGUGUAAUGACUACAGUUCUGAUCAGUGUACUGUAGUCUCUAAGACUCGCCACAGACUGGGUCUGGUACCUGCCGACAGGGACUGAGAGAUAUCGGACUCCCUGUGCGAUGGUUCCAUACACU
rnacentral:snoRNA from 1 species